GAGAAGAAGAAGAAGAGGAAGAGAAGAAGAAGAGGAUGCAGGAGAAGAGGUUGUGAUACCUCUGUUUCCUGCAGAGGAAACAGAGGAGAGGGUGUGUGUGACGCCGGGGAGGAGAAGGGAAGAAGAAGAGGAGAAGAAGAGACGGUAAAGGAGGAGCUGCGGCUGCGGCGGUGGCAGCUGCAGCUGGAAGAGAAGGAGAGGAAGAAAAGAAGGUGAGGAAGAAGAGAAGAAGGAGGAGGAAGAAGAGAAGGGAAAGAAGCAGCUGUGGCUGCGGCUGUGGCAGCUGCAGCUGUGGCUGCGGCUGUGGCAGCAGCAGCUGUGGCAGGGAAAGAGGAAGAGGAAGGAAGAAGGGAAGGAGAGGAAGAAGAGAAGGGGAAGAAGGGGCUGCGGCUGCUGCGAUGGCAGCUGCAGCUAGACGAGAAAAAGGAGAGGAAGAUGAGCAGGGGAGGAAGAAGAGGUUGCGGCCGUGGCUGCGGCCGCGACUGCAGCAGUUGCAGCUGGGAAAGAAGAGAAGGAAAGGAAGAAGAAGAGAAAGGGAAGGAGAGGAAGAAGAGAGGAAGAGGAGAAGGGGUGGCAGCUGCGGCAGUGGCAGCUGCAGCCGGAAGAGAAGGAGAGGAAAUAGAGCAGGGGAGGAAGAAGAGGCUGCGGCUGUGGUGCUGCGGCCAUGGCUGCGACUGCGACUGCGGCAGUUGCAGCUGGGAAAGAAAAGAAAGAAAGGGGGGAAAAAGAGGCUGCGGUCAGGAUUGCGGCCGCGGCGGCAGCGGCUGCGUCUGCGACAACUACGUUUGGAAAAGAAAACGAAGGAAUGAGAGUAAGAGAGAGCAGGUGAUUGUGCCUCGAUGAUCGGCACAAGUUGUAGUUGCGGAGAAAGAAAGAAAACGAGUGUAGAAAACGAAACAGGGAGAGGAGACGGAGGAAAAGUAGAAAAAGGAUUCGAGCG
rnacentral:lncRNA from 1 species